AUUGAACGCUGGUGGCAGGCCUAACACAUGCAAGUCGAGCGGCAGCGGGAAAGUAGCUUGCUACUUUUGCCGGCGAGCGGCGGACGGGUGAGUAAUGCCUGGGAAAUUGCCCAGUCGAGGGGGAUAACAGUUGGAAACGACUGCUAAUACCGCAUACGCCCUACGGGGGAAAGCAGGGGACCUUCGGGCCUUGCGCGAUUGGAUAUGGCCAGGUGGGAUUAGCUAGUUGGUGAGGUAAUGGCUCACCAAGGCGACGAUCCCUAGCUGGUCUGAGAGGAUGAUCAGCCACACUGGAACUGAGACACGGUCCAGACUCCUACGGGAGGCAGCAGUGGGGAAUAUUGCACAAUGGGGGAAACCCUGAUGCAGCCAUGCCGCGUGUGUGAAGAAGGCCUUCGGGUUGUAAAGCACUUUCAGCGAGGAGGAAAGGUUGAUGCCUAAUACGUAUCAACUGUGACGUUACUCGCAGAAGAAGCACCGGCUAACUCCGUGCCAGCCGCCGCAGUAAAAC
rnacentral:rRNA from 1 species